rnacentral:misc_RNA from 1 species
UAUUUCUUUUUCCUUUAUUUUUGUAUAAAAUUAUUUAUUUAUAUAAUUAUUAUUGCAAUUGUUAUUUUUAAAAAGUAAAAAACUAAAUAGCGCGCGCGUAGCGCGCGCCUGUGUUGUUCUAGUUAUAGUAAACAACAAACUUUAUGCAACAGUCGCUUUCUUCUAAAAUUAUUAUCGUCCAGUAAUAAGUAGAAAUAUCUCGUGCAAAUAACAAAAAAAUUAUGGAUAAUAGUAAAUAAAUAAUUAUUGAAAAUACAUAAAUACACUUUUGUUAAAAAAUCUAUAAUCAGGUUCUUUGAAAAACUUCAACUCUAGAAACCGCACAUUUUUAUGUAAAUAAUUGAUUACAAUAUUAAAAUAACUGAUUAUAUGUGAUCUUUCGUGUGUGUUUAUAUUCCACAUCCACAUUAUACAUGUAUAUAAACCUACUUAUAUUGGAAAUGCUGAAGUCGGGGACUAAUUUCAUUAGUUACUUUUCUAUAAAAAUAGAACAAUGAAAGAGCAUCAUUCAAUUUUUCUCUUAUGUCGAUGCCAACUAUGCGACCGCGUGCUUUUGCGCCGCAAGCUCGCAGCGAAAGUAGAAGAGAAAUAUUAUUAUCAAAUAAUGGCGUCGUCAAAGAGAAAAACAAGGGAUCGACCAUCGAAGAAGCGGACAACAGAAAGAAUAUCACAUUCUAAUAUUCGUUCCCGAGUUAAAUUGGAAUGCCGCAAACGCGCAAACACUCCAUUUCGACGACAGCCAUACGGUUCCAUCAGUAUACCUCAAUUGGUCUAUCAACUCCUCACCAUAGAUAAAUAUAAUCAUGAAGCAAAACGUAGAAGCAGAUGUUUUUCGUCUCCGGAACGUUUCAGGACACGCUAUCGAGAAAUGCAGAACUCUCAUGAACGGCAAAGACUUUCAUACAAAAUGGCUAAUCAUCGCGAAGAUUCGGAAUCUAUACAAAUACCUGAAUAUACAACAGAAUCCAGACCCACAUCUAUUGAUAGUUUUAUGGAAGCAACGGAUACUGCAAAUAGCUCGGCGCCGAUAAGUUCUGCGAACAGCAGCGUGUCAAAUGUCUCAGUGGAACCAAUCACCCUUGCAAACUCACUCAACAACGCCAAAGCGCUUUUUAGAAAAAGAUCUUUGGUACAACUCAUUAACAGUUACAUCAAAGCUGGCGUUGAAGAAGGAAAGCGACAGGCUAAAAAGUAUAUUCGCAAAGCACUAUCUUUUGGCGUGAGAUCGGGUUAUUUAAUCCCGACUGAUCAACAAGGUAACGUGCUUCGUGUGUGUCCGACUCUCGAUACACGAUCUUGGAAUUGGAGACGAGCCGAUACUGAAUCUCGCCAAAAACGACGCAACGCACGACGAGAAGGAAAAACGCAUUUGACAACCAUCGCUGAUCGAAAAGCAAUGCGUCGUGGAAUUCUGCAAGAUAAGUGCCUUUAUAAUAUGGAUGAUGUACGGAUGAUUUCAAAAAGAAGAUACAUGAAGCAAACAGCUCAAAGUUCUGCUAGAAAUUUAAUCACGCGGGAGAAUAGUCCAAGAAAAUUGACUGAUAAAUCGUUACGCGAGAGAAAGAAAACAAAAGUUUUUACGAGAAAGAACAGCAAAAUUAACAAUACGAGCAUGAGCAAUAAACGAGAUCAACAAAAAGGAAACAACGAUGAAAACAUCAAAAAACCAGUCAAAAGAAGUUGUACGUCCUUUUCCACAAAACGUUCUGAAAAUGUUCAUGAAUUAGUUAAGGAAAAUUAUAAGGACAUUAGCGGAAGAGAUCGCAAUCAGUUCCAAAUUAAGAAAGAUGGCUGCUACAAAACUAAUAAGGGACGAAGGUCAAUAUCGAGUCAAGAGGACGAAUCCAAGACAGAGAAGCGACAAAUUAAAACAAAUAUAAACAGUGACAGAAUAGAUUGUAACGAGAUAGAAAACAAAUACAAUGAUGAUAGAAAAUCCAAUGAAGACAAUGACAAAGAAUCUGAAAAAGAUAGUGACGAAUGUGACUUGAUCGGCAAAGCGACUAGAGAAAUGGAAUCUUAAAGGAAUGCCUAUCUUGAACGUUACCAUUCUUCAUUCAAAAACAAAUAUCUUCGGGGAAAGAGUAGUUGGUUGCGACGAGCACCUUGAUGAAGG